AAAGUGUUGGCACCUCUCUGUUGGCAGUCCAGUCCAGUAGAUGUCACUGCAGCCAAAGGAGCAGGAGACAAACUGACCCUCUGACCUUCCUAGAGCCCCCUGCCGUUUCACUCAUCAAGCCACUGAACCCUACAGGAGGAAUGAAAUCGGCGAUACAUCGAGGUGUGGGGAGAGGACAAUCUUCUCAGAGAAUCAUGGACUUUCCAGUCAUGGCACACAUCGUCUUGAAGAUGUACCUAUAGUAUCCUUUAUUGUUGGUUGCAAUUAAAGCAUCCCUGUGAAGUAAUGUAAAAUACGUUUGCCAUUCAAAAAUCUUUGGAAAGACGGGAUGGUCAACCAUUCACAAAAAAAUGACUAAGAGGAACUGGCUGGGUUUAUGGUAAGUAGCCCAAUAUUGAUCAGUUGUAUUUGGACAAUAAUGUGGCAUUUUAUCAAAUCAAUGGUGUUGAGAGACUCGUCAGGUGCCAUAAGUAAGUUCUUCAUUGUGUUCUCCACUCAUUUGUCCUAUGUGGUGGAGGUGGUGUAAAACGUUCACCCAAAACUAGUAGGUCUUCACCUGCGAGCACCUCAACACUGAUAAGUAGAAGCGCUUCAGUGCCACCAAGGAGACGACGUUUCUGCUGUACUUCCCAGAUAAAGGCCGCCAUCACCCAACGAUCCUCCUCGGCAGCCCAGCUAGGAGGUGCGAAGGAGGAGUAGAGAUCGUUGCGUAGCUGAGCAUGACACCGGACUAUACGGGCAUUCAGUUUCUACAGAAGCAUUUACCGUCCUGUGAAAGUUCACUUAGUGUUCACUCGUCUUGCCUGAACCACUCGUUUUAUCACAGGAGUAGAAGUGUCUUGAUUUACACAAAUAAAUUGUGUGUGUGGUUUUUAGAUCAGAUUGAAAUUCAAAGACGGUGGAAAUAGUGAGAUGUUGUGGAGAGACGAUACCUUUUUUUCCCCAAACACAGUCUUGACAUUCCAAAGUUCAUGAGCUAUUCAAGGCUAUAUUAGCUGUAUUUUCUAACUGUUUGACCUGAGUCAUACAGGACCCAUCAGGAAGGCGUGUGCUCCAUCCACUCAUUGUCUCAUGAGGGUUUUCAGUCCAGAGAUGGCGCUGCCAUAGAAGUACCUCUGUUGUUACACACUCUUGCCCUUGAUCAGCUGCAAAAGGCAGCAGACAGUGGAGCAGAUCAUUUUCCCCUGAGACAAUUUGGUGACCUCCCUCUGGAGUCCCAGCAGCGCUAUCAGAGAGAGUGGAGAGGAAAAUUGCUGGUUUGCAUCGCUGUUCUCUUACGGGAAGGAGGAAUUUCAAUGGGGUCAGCGUGGAGUCCCCAUGGAGACAGACGGCGGCCGGGUGGCUCGGACUCAGGAGGCGGUGAGACUCGACGCCCCUCUGAGUGGCGGAGCCGUGAUGGCUCUCAGUAUCUCUCGUCAUGUCCCUGGCAGCUUUGACACAGACUGUAAUCUGUGCUGGACUUUUUCUCUGAUUACACACGUCUCUGUCUCGGGGAGCAAAACAAGGACUCUGAACUGCCGCUGGCAACCAGGCUCACCCUGGGCUUUCAGCCUUCGAGAGGACUGCACUCUGCCUCUAAGGGACCAAGGGAAUCAGCUGUUCUCCUGAGACACACCUCUGUGUUACCAUUGGACCCUGGUGAUCCAGUCCUAAUAGCAUAUCAAGCACCCGGCAGAGGGGAGCAGGUGAUGGCGUCCGCCAUAAGGAGGAUACUUUGGUGCUGUCCAACAAGCCGUCUGUUAUCAGAGGGAAAUGUGUCCGUUCAGAGGUGAGGGGGGGGGCUUUGUGCUCUCAACCAGGCCACCUCUCUGCCUUUGUCGUGGUAACAAGCUCAGCUCAGGCUCCAUUGAAGCGAGAAAUUGUAAACUCUCCAGAGAGGCCCAGUGGAGAGAUAAGGGUUUAGUGUUUGUUGGCUGUGUGCUUGGGGAUGAAUCAGAUAAGCUCGAGUCCCACGCCAGAAUGGGAGUGAUGAUACCUCCCCUUCUGUGGGGUGUUAUGUUUAAUCCCUUUGCCAGUGUAUUCACUUGCAAAUCCUCCUGUCACCAUUAAUAUGUAUUAACACUCCUCAGACAGUGUUCAAUACAGAUUUAUCAGACUCUUAUUUUCUUUCCUCUUGUUUGCACUGUCGUCUCACCCUCCUCUGUAACCGUGGAGCUUUCUUUUCAGUGCUAAUAUCGAGGCGACAUGCUUUUGCUGUGAGAGACCAGAUAUUACUGUGCACUCUCUCUCUCUCUAUGGGGUUUCUUUCAACAGUCCCUUCUUUCCUUUAAGUUCGGGUUUCUGUUCUGUAGAGGACUUAAACUCCGAACAUACUUCAUUGCAGUCCUGUGUGAAUAUGUGGGAUCCCUAAAUCUCUGAAAGUAUAGCAUUGACUCACUCAUCAAUGUUUGAUUUGUUGAUUAUAAGGCUCAGUCACUUCACACAGAGCUAAAAACCUGUCUUUUGUAUUCCUCUCGGGUUGAUCAAUUUCCACUGUGUAAUUAAGAAUAGCGGUGCAUUAAUCUAUUUGAUCCAAUACAAUAA
ensembl:lncRNA